AAAACAAACUGAAGAAAGAGAAGCUGUAUUAAUGACACACAAUAUAUAUGUUUAGGUCUUCUUUUUACACAUCCAUAUUUUUAUUUUU
rnacentral:ribozyme from 1 species